AUCGCUUCUCGGCCUUUUGGCUAAGAUCAAGUGUAGUAUCUGUUCUUAUCAGCUUAAUAUCUGAUACGUCCUCUAUCUGAGGACAAUAUAUUAAAUGAAUUUUUGGAGCUGGGAGUCAGAAGAGGAGCUUUCUCCGUCUGCUCCAUGCAUCAACCUGGUAUUUCAGUAUUCUAGGAACGGUGCACCAAAA